rnacentral:rRNA from 1 species
CAGCAGCCGCGGGAAUACGUAGGUGGCAAGCGUUGUCCGGAAUUAUUGGACGUAAAGGGCUCGCAGGCGGUUUCUUAAGUCUGAUGUGAAAGCCCCCGGCUCAACCGGGGAGGGUCAUUGGAAACUGGGAAACUUGAGUGCAGAAGAGGAGAGUGGAAUUCCACGUGUAGCGGUGAAAUGCGUAGAGAUGUGGAGGAACACCAGUGGCGAAGGCGACUCUCUGGUCUGUAACUGACGCUGAGGAGCGAAAGCGUGGGGAGCGAACAGGAUUAGAUACCCCGGUAGUCCCUGUCUCUUAUAC